rnacentral:rRNA from 1 species
UACGUAGGGUGCAAGCGUUAAUCGGAAUUACUGGGCGUAAAGCGUGCGCAGGCGGUUUUUGUAAGUUUGUCGUGAAAGCCCCGGGCUCAACCUGGGAAUUGCGAUGAAGACUGCAAGGCUUGAAUCUGGCAGAGGGGGGUAGAAUUCCACGUGUAGCAGUGAAAUGCGUAGAGAUGUGGAGGAACACCGAUGGCGAAAGGCAGCCCCCCUGGGCUAACACUGACGCUCAGGCACGAAAGCGUGGGGAGCAAACAGG